rfam:Aedes aegypti strain Liverpool supercont1.448 genomic scaffold, whole genome shotgun sequence.
CCAUCGGCCCUUUUCAGGCCACCAAAAUGUGCGUAAAAGAGUUAU